AACGAACGCUGGCGGCAGGCCUAACACAUGCAAGUCGAACGGGUCCUUCGGGACUAGUGGCGGACGGGUGAGUAACGCGUGGGAACAUACCCAAAGGUACGGAAUAGCCUCGGGAAACUGGGAGUAAUACCGUAUGUGGUCGAGAGACGAAAGAUUUAUCGCCUUUGGAUUGGCCCGCGUUGGAUUAGGUAGUUGGUGGGGUAAUGGCCUACCAAGCCGACGAUCCAUAGCUGGUUUGAGAGGAUGAUCCGCCACACUGGGACUGAGACACGGCCCAGACUCCUACGGGAGGCAGCAGUGGGGAAUCUUAGACAAUGGGGGAAACCCUGAUCUAGCCAUGCCGCGUGAUCGAUGAAGGCCUUAGGGUUGUAAAGAUCUUUCAGAUGGGAAGAUAAUGACGGUACCAUCAGAAGAAGCCCCGGCUAACUCCGUGCCAGCCGCCGCCGUAAAAC
rnacentral:rRNA from 1 species